AUCCUGGCCAACUUGGUGAAACCCCAUCUCUACUAAAAAUACAAAAAUUAGCUGGGAGUGGCUGCAGGCACCUGUAAUCCCAGCUACUCAGGAGGCUGAGGCAGGAGAAACUCGUUUUCCACAUGGAUGUUGUGCAAGUCUCCUUCUGGUUUUUAGUGGCUGGGUUGGUGGUGGGCACACUGGGUGGGGAGGACGACAGGCAGGUCUACCAACCACCUAGGGAUACUCAUCUCCCCGUGGAAGUCAGUGUAUUUGCCAAUUAAUCUUCUACUUAUCCAUUGAUACAUCUUUGUUGAGUCCUGUUCUUGAUGCUAAAACAUUAGCAGUGAAUAAGACAAAAAAAUCUCUUCUUUCAGAGAAUUUAUUUGAGAAUUACAUACAGUGAGUACUGUGAAUAAAAGUAAAUACAAACAAGCAAAAUAAUUUUAAAUAGAAGCAAAGGCCAUGAAGGAAAUGGUUUCAGGGGCCAUUAUCACACCGUGGUGAUAAGGUUACAGCUUAUGGUGAAAAUUGGAUGCAGAUAGCAGAAGAGAACUCAAAGAAUAUCACCAAUACAGAAAGCCAAUAGUGUUUACCCUUCUGGGCUGUUGUCAGGAUGUCUGGUUAAGUGAAGCUUGUGUCCUCUGGACUGUGGACCACGGAAGACAGGAAGACCUGUGAGUUGCAAAUAAAAUCCUUGUCCCCCACCCAUUGAAUGGGCUCCCUCUUGACCAAAGGGAUCCCAUAGAAACCUUAAAAUGAGUUCCCAGCCAUGAUGGGAAGGGAGGUUGGAUACAGCUCAUUAUAACACCCCCUUAUGGAGUUUAGACAAAACUGCCCAGAAUUAAUGUUAAAAUAGAUAUUAUAAGACCAAUUGAAUGGAUUUCAUGUGACAAUAAGAUACCAGAUUAUAACCAAGAUGUAAGGUGAUGCCAGACCAGGGUAAGUCCUGCCUGCAGGCCAUCAGUCUGGCUAAACAAGGCAUUUUGACCCAGCAUCUUGUGGCUGACUCUGACUUAAGAUCCUAAUCUUAGAUAUUCCUUUCUGCUGACAGCAAGUUUUAGAGAGAGUCUUACUCCUUUAACCAGCUGAAAAUUAAAGAAUUUUUGAAUCCAAUUAUAACCUGUAAGCUUCCACUUUAAGGUAUCCUACCUUUUUAGGCCGAGCCAAUGUAUACAUUCUACAUACUGACUUACGUCACUCCUGCUUCCCUGAAAUGUAUAAAAC
rnacentral:lncRNA from 10 species